rnacentral:rRNA from 1 species
GACAGAGGGGGCAAGCGUUGCUCGGAAUUACUGGGCGUAAAGGGCGCGUAGGCGGGAUGGCAAGUCGGUCGUGAAAUCCUUCGGCUCAACCGAAGAACGUCGAUCGAUACUGCUGUUCUUGAGGGUUGCAGAGGAGACUGGAAUUCCCGGUGUAGCGGUGAAAUGUGUAGAGAUCGGGAAGAACACCCGUGGCGAAGGCGGCUCUCUGGGACGGUACUGACGCUGAGACGCGAAAGCGUGGGGAGCAAACGGG